GGCAGUCGGAAGGGAAAGUACUGAGCUGACAAUGUAUAUACUCCUAUGGUAACAUAAAGCACCGACAGAAUCACACCAAUCCCCAGUAGCCGCGUGUCAGAUCGGUUGAAUCUAACGGCUCAAAGAAAGGAGAAGGUGAAUAUAAGGAGUUGUUUCCAUGAUUAGCCGCGUCCCUAGCUGGCGGGUAUAAAUAGUGAGCUUUCCCCCGGCUAGCUGCUGUGAAACCCCGGGUACGUAAAACAAAUCCCACUACUUGAAAAGGAGUGGCUAUUACUCUCUUUCAUUCGUUGUUUUUUGGCAGUGGAGAGAUAGUGUGUGUGAGGUUGCGGAGGAGGAGGAGCACCGGCGUCCGAUUUCGAUUCCCCAAAUUAGAUCGGCUCUUUUGUGUCUCGUGUGUUUUGCAUUUUGUUUUUUAUUUUUGACGGAAGAGAGAUUAAUUUUGUUUACGACGACAAGGGGGACAGAGAUCAAUUGAUUUUAGUAGAGUUGGAAGUAGUUUGAAAGAGAUAAUACACAAUACAAUGGAGUUGUUCUAUUACAUGGUGUUUGGGGCGCUGGGGGCGGUAGUGGCAGCUUUGGAGUUGAGUAAGGCCAACAAAGAUCGGAUCACAACUUCUCAGGCUUUCACUUCCUUCAAGAACAACUACCUUCUCGUUUACUCUCUCAUGAUGGCUGGUGACUGGUUGCAAGGUCCAUAUGUCUAUUACCUUUACAGCACCUAUGGCUUCGGGAAGGGGGAAAUUGGACAGCUUUUUAUUGCUGGGUUUGGAUCUUCCAUGUUGUUUGGCACAAUUGUCGGAUCUCUGGCAGACAAACAGGGACGAAAGAGAGCAUGCGCGACUUACUGCAUUACUUACAUACUCAGCUGCAUCACCAAGCAUUCCCCACAGUACAAAGUUUUGAUGUUGGGACGUGUAUUAGGUGGUAUUGCUACCUCCCUACUUUGCUCAGGAUUUGAGUCUUGGCUUGUUGCUGAACACUUCAAGAGGGGCUUUGAUCAGCAAUGGCUUUCAUUAACUUUCUCGAAGGCUAUAUUUCUUGGAAAUGGUCUUGUUGCUAUUCUCUCUGGAUUGUUUGGAAAUCUGCUGGUUGAUUCCUUAAGUCUUGGUCCUGUGUCUCCCUUUGAUGCCGCUUCAUGCUUUCUGGCAAUUGGAAUGGCUAUUAUAUUGUCAACAUGGACUGAGAAUUAUGGUGAUCCGUCGGAGAAUAAGGACUUGCUAACUCAGUUCAAGAACGCAGCUGUAGCAAUUGCUUCUGAUGAGAGGAUAGCAUUAUUGGGUGCAAUUCAGUCCCUGUUUGAAGGUUCAAUGUAUACUUUUGUGUUUCUGUGGACUCCUGCUCUGAGUCCAAAUGAUGAAGAAAUUCCCCAUGGUUUUAUUUUUUCAACUUUCAUGUUGGCUUCAAUGUUGGGAAGCUCAUUUGCAUCUCGACUUAUGGCGCGUAACUCACCUAAAGUUGAGAUUUAUAUGCAGAUUGUCUUUGUGAUCUCUUCUGCCUCUCUGCUGCUACCUAUAAUGACAAAUUUCUUGGUAGCCCCCUCGAAGGUUAAGGGUGGUGGUAUCUCAUUUUCUGGUUGUCUCCAACUUCUUGGUUUCUGUACAUUUGAAGCUUGUGUUGGAAUUUUUUGGCCAUCAAUUAUGAAGAUGAGAUCUCAAUACAUUCCUGAGGAGGCACGCAGCACUAUAAUGAACUUCUUCCGCAUCCCCUGAACAUCUUUGUUUGCGUUGUACUCUACAAUGUUGAUGCAUUCCCCAUCACUGUUAUGUUUGGCAUGUGCUCGAUCUUCCUGUUUGUGGCGUCCAUCUUACAGAGACGGCUGGCAGCAAUUGCGGACAAGCCAAAGGCAGAAGAUUGGACGCCAAUGAAAGAAAGAGACGCUGAAGCAGAGCCACUAAAUGCUCCUUGAUAUUAACGAGUCUUCACAAACAAAUGUUUUGUGAGGGUUCAUCCCAUGGCGGGCACACAUUUGAUUCAUUAGUAGCCUAUAAGAAAUCUAAAUUCACUCUUUCAGAAAUGCCUAAGGAGAGCAGAAGCUGAUGCCAAGAAGAAGUUUAAUGCUGCUAUAGCAAUUUUUGGAUACAGAUAGAACAAAGUUUUAGCAUUCACAUACUCCUGAACUAUUGCUGUGGAGAUAUCUUGGUGUUUAUUUUUUUAAUUUUCAUGUUUUGUCGAUAAGCAGAAAGUGAAAAAUGGUUGCCCCUUUCGUAAAUUUGACCUCAGUUUAAGGUUAUAUUGAGGCCGUAGAUUUGUAUUUGAUAUUUUAUAAUGUUCUUUUUGAUUAGCGACAAUUUGUAAGAACAACAUGCCAUUAAGCAUUCUUUGUAACAGCGGAUUACACGUUUAUUUUCU